UACAGAGGGCUCAAGCGUUGUUCGGAUUCAUUGGGCGUAAAGGGUGCGUAGGCGGCGCGGUAAGUCGGGGGUGAAAUCUCGGGGCUUAACUCCGAAACUGCAUUCGAUACUGCCGUGCUUGAGGACUGGAGAGGAGACUGGAAUUUACGGUGUAGCGGUGAAAUGCGUAGAGAUCCUGAGGAAGACCAGUGGCGAAGGCGGGUCUCUGGACAGUUCCUGACGCUGAGACACGAAGGCCAGGGGAGCAAACGGG
rnacentral:rRNA from 1 species